rnacentral:lncRNA from 1 species
AUCUUCUGCAGACAAGUGAAGGGGGUCUCUAAGGAAGAAAAGAGGUUGAAAUCACACCCUGAAAGUGCUGCUGGAUCCCCAAGGACCUCGAGCAACUUCAGACGAGGAGAGAGAUUCCUCGGAAAGAGAGUAAGCAUUACAUCACGAGAUGAGCUUUCCUGAACUGUGUGCUGCUGUCCCUCAGGAAGGAAAUCGCUUCCUCCCAUCAGGAGUUGAGAUGAACUCAGUAUCCAGAUUAAGUGAAGAAUGAGACCACAGCACUAUAGACAGAGCAACUUGUAGAAGAUACACUAGAGUGCACUAGACACACUAGAAUGCAAUGGAAAGUGAGAACCACCCAACUGAAAGG